rnacentral:rRNA from 1 species
AUUGAACGCUGGCGGCAGGCUUAACACAUGCAAGUCGAGCGGGGAAAGGUAGCUUGCUACCUGACCUAGCGGCGGACGGGUGAGUAAUGCUUAGGAAUCUGCCUAUUAGUGGGGGACAACAUCUCGAAAGGGAUGCUAAUACCGCAUACGUCCUACGGGAGAAAGCAGGGGACCUUCGGGCCUUGCGCUAAUAGAUGAGCCUAAGUCGGAUUAGCUAGUUGGUGGGGUAAAGGCCUGCCAAGGCGACGAUCUGUAGCGGGUCUGAGAGGAUGAUCCGCCACACUGGGACUGAGACACGGCCCAGACUCCUACGGGAGGCAGCAGUGGGGAAUAUUGGACAAUGGGGGGAACCCUGAUCCAGCCAUGCCGCGUGUGUGAAGAAGGCCUUUUGGUUGUAAAGCACUUUAAGCGAGGAGGAGGCUACCGAGAUUAAUACUCUUGGAUAGUGGACGUUACUCGCAGAAUAAGCACCGGCUAACUCUGUGCCAGCCGCCGCAGUAACAC